AACAUUUUUCAUCAAAUCCUGCUGAAACCUCCAAUCCACCAAAAAAACUUCAAGAACCCUAUAUCUUCCAUUUAAAAUUAAAUGCUCACAACUCACAAAUUUAAGCUACCACCUUAGGGAUUUUAUUCCUCACUCAAAAUCCUAUAGUAUGGUAAAACGUUUUCCGCAAAUAAGAGAAGGGAUCGAAGAAGAAAUGCCUACCUACAGAGCAGAGGGAUGAUAUGAGAGUUGUUAAAAUGCUUUAAGAUGGAGAUGCAAAGAGAAACCCAGAGAUAUGCUCAGGGGCUGCUGCAAAUCUUGGCCUAGUGAAACAUGAAGUCUUUAUCAUGGAGCUUGGAUUUGGGUCAUGGCAUGUCUAAAUGUUUCUUGGAGUUUAGACCAUUGGACAUGAAGAUAAAAAGUUUUGGAGCCAUACAUGGAAAUCAUGAGAAUGGAGAAAAAAUAUAGGCUUCGGAUUUAGUUUGACCUUGGUCAGCUGUUUGACCAAAAGUCAACAGUUGACCAAAAAUAAAACCUUAGGUCAAACCUAGAAUUUUUGUGUAAUUUGUAAAUGAGACUUCUUGUGAUGCAAUCUUGGAUUUUGAAUAUGAAAUUGGACCUUGAAUGUUAUUUGUAACUUCUUUUUCCCAGAAAUGUAUUUUUCCUCCA